UGAAAAAAAAACGUCCCCGACUCCACCCCUCCCCAGCCACCACAGAACUCCUCCCUGUUCCCAUCGCUGCCGCCCGCCGCUCCUCCUCUCCUCUGUUACCCCGUCGCGAGGAACCAACCUCCCGAAGCAACCGGAGCGGCAAGCGGCGGAAGAAUGGAGAGAUGGCGUCUACGGCGACGACGAAGGAGAUGGGGCGGGCGUCCUACAUCUGGAUCAAGCACGAGGAGGAGCGGCGCAAGGCUUCCUGGAAGGAGCCCGAGGCCCGGGUCUUCUCCGCCACCACGCGCACUGAUGUCGCCGCGCUCCUCGGCGAGCCCCGCGACCAGAUCCUCGUCGGUCGUGCCUCCUUCGCCGACCUCGCCGCACAGCAGUCCGGCUGCUGGGGAGUGAAACGUGCAUAGAUGAGAUUCUCCAGAUUGUUUUCUUCUCUCUCCCUAGCAAUCCUUCUUGCUUCCCCUCUUGUGUCUCUCGAUGCUACUAUAUCUAUAUGCAGGUUUUGACAUGCCUUUUGUUUGUGUUGGCAGGAACUCCAGUUCACGCUCUGUUUUGGUGGAUCUCACUACGCUCAGGAGGUGUUCGACGAAAUGCAAAGCCAGAGAAAAACUAGAGAUGAGACACAGGUUCAGUUUUCUCUUCAGGCAAGGAAUGCCUUUCUCUCUUUUGCUCUGGCCAGCAACAUAGUCGGCUCCCUCUCUUUUGUGUGCAGUUACACAAAUACACACAUGUAUGGCCUGCAGCCAUGCUCAGACAUCCUCAGCACACAUAGACGUCGCUACAGUGCAGGGACACACACAUCAGCCUACUGUCAACUCCGCAUGUUACUAGACACGAGCAUGGUCUAUACACUGUCUAGAUUGCAACAAGGAUUACAUUAACAGUUUGAACCGAGCUUGAUUUUUUUGGUUAAGAUUCAAUGAUGGUUUGGUGUUACUCUAUUUUUACUAUUGUUUCCUUAUCAAUAUUUCACUGCUGUGAUAGUGAAACAUUUAUCUAUUACAUACUUUUUCGUUGACAGCCGAAUGUGCUGUUUGAACUGUUUUCCCUAGAUGAAGGAAGUACAGUUUGCAUGUACUAAUUUUUUACUGUUAGUUCCAGAUUAUCCCCUUUCCUGUGUGCAUUUACUAGAUGCUUAAAUUAAUAUAUGGAUCAUCUUCGGUCCAGCAUGAUCUAUUUAGCAAAUUAAAAUUUCUCAUCCAGUGUUCAGUUAUUUUCUCAAUUUAUUUGCUGCUCAUGUAUGUGUUAACCUGUACUGAGAUUGUUUAUUAUAUAUAUGUCUAUGUCCAGCUUCUGUAAUGUCAUGCAUCUAUUUAGGGAAGUCAUUCUAGUUCUUGUCCCUGGAGACUUCUCAAGUGCAACUUACGGGUAUCUUGAACCAUCAACACCGCCUCCAGCUGACACCACCCUAGGCUCCGGGGAGUACACCGGGCCACUGACAGCUGCGUAGGUGAUGGCAGCGGGCGGGGCUGGUCUUCUUCUUGGCGCACGUGUGUUACCUCUCCAAGAUCCAUGAGCUUGGUGACACGUUGCUCAUCCUCUGAUGCUCGCUUGCUCACCCUGCUCGGCAUCUACCACCAUGCCAUCAUCAUUGUCAUGCUACCUCUGGCUCGCCACUGGGAUGUAGUUCUCAUGUGGAGUUGUUUGGAUGUGCGUGCAGGUGCAAGAAAUUCAGGAAGUUGGGCAAAGUAGGGUCGUUCUGGAGGCCAUCACCGUUGUGCAUCACCGACCAGGCAACCUCGAAGCAUGCUACCUUCUUGGAAAUUAUCCGAUUGUAUUUCUGGGGAGCCGGGAGGCAGGAGCAACGCUGGUGAUGACCCCGACGGUGGGUGACACCGCCGGGAGGCAAUGCACUCCCUGGUUGUCGUUCAAUUCAUCAGCAUUGGUGCCACCAAGGACGAUCACAACAAAUGAUAUUUUUCCUUCGAUUUUCUUUCUAACGGUGGUGGAUUGGUUGCUCCUUGGUGCGUGGAUUUUUAAAUGUAGGCUGCUGGUGAGGAAACAAAGUUGGUGAAAAUAUCAAAGCUGGACAAAAAUAAUAGAAACAUUAAGCGCAGAAUAUGCUGUACCUAAAUUAGCUGCCUGGAAACAUAGGGCCUGUGCUAAAUGACUGAAGGGUGAGCAACAACUUCGAGCCGAGAAUUGGAGACUGGCAAGAUAGAGUUCGGCCAUAGUGUACUGCCUGGAAAGGAAGGCAUUGCACUGGAGGGUGGCGCAGGUGGUAAUGGAGGAGGCGGCGAUGAGUAUUGCGUCAGGCGGCAAUCGGAUUUAAGCGUGGAAGAUAUUGGCAUCGAUAUGAGAGUGGGCGAGAGCCAUAGGAAAAAGGAUCUGGUGAAGAAAGAACAUAAGAGAUGGGUGUGGGUCAGUGGGUGUUAUCGGCCUGGCUAGGCCAACGUGGUACAUGCAAUCUUUUUUUUUCUUUUCUGAGUUGUACUUGGCUAAAUCUCACUAUAUUUGUACGUGUUCAUAUGUCAUUUGUUUUUCAAAACAAAAUAAAUAAAGAAAAUGUAGAAUAAUGUAAAAUCA